rnacentral:rRNA from 1 species
GGAUGAACGCUGGCGGCGUGCCUAACACAUGCAAGUCGAGCGAUUUACUUCGGUAAAGAGCGGCGACGGGUGAGUAACGCGUGGGUAACCUGCCUCAUACACAUGGAUAACAUACCGAAAGGUAUGCUAAUACAGGAUAAUAUAAGAGAUUCACAUGGAUUUCUUAUCAAAGCUCCGGCGGUAUGAGAUGGACCCGCGUCUGAUUAGCUAGUUGGUAAGGUAAUGGCUUACCAAGGCGACGAUCAGUAGCCGACCUGAGAGGGUGAUCGGCCACAUUGGAACUGAGACACGGUCCAAACUCCUACGGGAGGCAGCAGUGGGGAAUAUUGCACAAUGGGCGAAAGCCUGAUGCCAGCAACGCCGCGUGAGUGAUGAAGGCCUUCGGGUCGUAAAACUCUGUCCUCAAGGAAGAUAAUGACGGUACUUGAGGAGGAAGCCCCGGCUAACUACGUGCCAGCAGCCGC